UUGGAGGGCAAGUCUGGUGCCAGCAGCCGCGGUAAUUCCAGCUCCAAUAGCGUAUAUUAAAGUUGUUGCAGUUAAAAAGCUCGUAGUUGAAUUUCGGGGUCAGUAGGCUGGUCGUGCCACAGGUAUGUACUGGUCUCACUGAUUCCUCCUUCCUGAUGAACCGUAAUGCCAUUAAUUUGGUGUUGCGGGGAAUCUGGACUGUUACUUUGAAAAAAUUAGAGUGUUUAAAGCAGGCUAACGCUUGAAUACAUUAGCAUGGAAUAAUGAAAUAGGACGAUCGAUCCUAUUUUGUUGGUUUCUAGGAUUGACGUAAUGAUUAAUAGGGAUAGUUGGGGGCAUUAGUAUUCAAUUGUCAGAGGUGAAAUUCUUGGAUUUAUUGAAGACUAACUACUGCGAAAGCAUUUGCCAAGGAUGUUUUCAUUAAUCAAGAACGAAAGUUAGGGGAUCGAAGACGAUCAGAUACCGUCGUAGUCUUAACCAUAAACUAUGCCGACUAGGGAUCGGAUGAUGUUAAUUUUUUAAUGACUCAUUCGGCGCCUUACGGGAAA
rnacentral:rRNA from 1 species